GGGCAGAGGAAAUGUGGAAAAAAGAGAGAGGUGUCACAUGCCAUUCUUCUGAUUUUCAUGAAUAUCCUCUAAAAGGCAGCUAAGCACUCGCUGUCUUCUUCCUUUUGCCUCAUCAAGCACGGGGGACGCUGGAAGGAAGAGUAUUUGUACAGUUGAGCCGAAAUGCCUGUUCUAACAAAGAGAGCCUGGGU
ensembl:lncRNA LNC-LBCS lncRNA bladder and prostate cancer suppressor, hnRNPK interacting